GACGAACGCUGGCGGCGUGCCUAAUACAUGCAAGUAGAACGCUGAAGGAGGAGCUUGCUUCUCUGGAUGAGUUGCGAACGGGUGAGUAACGCGUAGGUAACCUGCCUGGUAGUGGGGGAUAACUAUUGGAAACGAUAGCUAAUACCGCAUAAUAGCAGUUGUUGCAUGAUAACUGUUUGAAAGGUGCAAUUGCACCGCUACCAGAUGGACCUGCGUUGUAUUAGCUAGUUGGUGGGGUAACGGCUCACCAAGGCGACGAUACAUAGCCGACCUGAGAGGGCGAUCGGCCACACUGGGACUGAGACACGGCCCAGACUCCUACGGGAGGCAGCAGUAGGGAAUCUUCGGCAAUGGACGGAAGUCUGACCGAGCAACGCCGCGUGAGUGAAGAAGGUUUUCGGAUCGUAAAGCUCUGUUGUAAGAGAAGAACGAGUGUGAGAGUGGAAAGUUCACACUGUGACGGUAUCUUACCAGAAAGGGACGGCUAACUACGUG
rnacentral:rRNA from 1 species